UACGGAGGGGACUAGCGUUGUUCGGAAUUACUGGGCGUAAAGCGCACGUAGGCGGAUUUGUAAGUCAGGGGUGAAAUCCCGGGGGCUCAACCUCGGAACUGCCUUUGAUGCUGCGAAUCUCGAGUCCGGAAGAGGUGAGUGGAAUUUCCUAGUGUAGAGGUGAAAUUCGUAGAUAUUAGGAAGAACACCAGUGGCGAAGGCGGCUCACUGGUCCGGUACUGACGCUGAGGUGCGAAAGCGUGGGGAGCAAACAGG
rnacentral:rRNA from 1 species